UACGAAGGGUGCAAACGUUGCUCGGAAUUAUUGGGCGUAAAGCGCACGUAGGCGGCUCCACAAGUCGGAUGUGAAAUCCCUCGGCUCAACCAAGGAAGUGCACCCGAAACUGCGGAGCUUGAAUAUGGAAGAGGGUCGCGGAAUUCCCGGUGUAGAGGUGAAAUUCGUAGAUAUCGGGAGGAACACCAGUGGCGAAGGCGGCGACCUGGGCCAAUAUUGACGCUGAGGUGCGAAAGCGUGGGGAGCAAACAGG
rnacentral:rRNA from 1 species